rnacentral:rRNA from 1 species
UGGGGAAUCUUGGACAAUGGGCGCAAGCCUGAUCCAGCCAUGCCGCGUGAGUGAUGAAGGCCCUAGGGUUGUAAAGCUCUUUCGCCAGGGACGAUAAUGACGGUACCUGGUAAAGAAGCCCCGGCUAACUUCGUGCCAGCAGCCGCGGUAAUACGAAGGGGGCUAGCGUUGUUCGGAAUUACUGGGCGUAAAGCGCGCGUAGGCGGAUCAUUAAGUUAGGGGUGAAAGCCCAGAGCUCAACUCUGGAACUGCCCUUAAUACUGGUGAUCUUGAGACCGGGAGAGGAGAGUGGAAUUCCCAGUGUAGAGGUGAAAUUCGUAGAUAUUGGGAAGAACACCCGUGGCGAAGGCGGCUCUCUGGCCCGGUUCUGACGCUGAGGUGCGAAAGCGUGGGGAGCAAACAGGAUUAGAUACCCCUGUAGUCC